GUUUGAUAGCUUAGUUGGUUAGGGCAUGGUGCCGAUAACGCCAAGGUGGCAGGUUUAAUCCCUGUAUGGGACA